rnacentral:rRNA from 1 species
AUUGAACGCUGGCGGCAUGCUUUACACAUGCAAGUCGGACGAGUGGCGAACGGGUGAGUAACGCAUCGGAACGUACCGAGUAAUGGGGGAUAACUGUCCGAAAGGACAGCUAAUACCGCAUAUUAUUCGAGCGGCCGAUGUCUGAUUAGCUGGUUGGAGGGGUAAAGGCCCACCAAGGCGACGAUCCCUAGCUGGUCUGAGAGGAUGAUCAGCCACACUGGGACUGAGACACGGCCCAGACUCCUACGGGAGGCAGCAGUGGGGAAUAUUGCACAAUGGGCGCAAGCCUGAUGCAGCCAUGCCGCGUGUAUGAAGAAGGCCUUCGGGUUGUAAAGUACUUUCAGUCGGGAGGCGUUACCGACAGAAGAAGCACCGGCUAACUCCGUGCCAGCAGCCGCGGUAAUUC